rnacentral:rRNA from 1 species
GAUGAACGCUGGCGGCGUGCCUAAUACAUGCAAGUCGAGCGAACAGACGAGGAGCUUGCUCCUCUGACGUUAGCGGCGGACGGGUGAGUAACACGUGGAUAACCUACAUAUAAGACUGGGAUAACUUCGGGAAACCGGAGCCAAUACCGGAUAAUAUAUUGAACCGCAUGGUUCAAUAGUGAAAGACGGGUUUGCUGUCACUUAUAGAUGGAUCCGCGCCGCAUUAGCUAGUUGGUAAGGUAACGGCUUACCAAGGCAACGAUGCGUAGCCGACCUGAGAGGGUGAUCGGCCACACUGGAACUGAGACACGGUCCAGACUCCUACGGGAGGCAGCAGUAGGGAAUCUUCCGCAAUGGGCGAAAGCCUGACGGAGCAACGCCGCGUGGGUGAUGAAGGUCUUCGGAUCGUAAAACUCUGUUAUUAGGGAAGAACAAAUGUGUAAGUAACUAUGCACGUCUUGACGGUACCUAAUCAGAAAGCCACGGCUAACUACGUG